AGCAGCCGCGGUAAUUCCGGCUCCAAUAGCGUAUAUUAAAGUUGUUGCAGUUAAAAAGCUCGUAGUUGAAUUUCGGGGUUAGUAGGUUGGUCAUGCCUCUGGUAUGUACUGGUCUCACUGAUUCCUCCUUCCUGAUGAACCUUAAUGCCAUUUAUUUGGUGUUUUGGGGAAUUUGGACUGUUACUUUGAAAAAAUUAGAGUGUUUAAAGUAAGCUAACGCUUGAAUACAUUAGCAUGGAAUAAUGAAAUAGGACGUUCGAUCCUAUUUUGUUGGUUUCUAGGAUUGACGUAAUGAUUAAUAGGGAUAGUUGGGGGCAUUAGUAUUCAAUUGUCAGAGGUGAUAUUCUUGGAUUUUAUUGAAGACUAACUACUGCGAAAGCAUUUGCCAAGGAUGUUUCAUUAAUCAAGAACGAAAGUUAGGGGAUCGAAGACGAUCAGAUACCGUCGUAGUCUUAACCAUAACUAUGCCGACUAGGGAUCGGAUGAUGUUAAUUUUAUAAU
rnacentral:rRNA from 1 species